GUUGUAAGUGGCUGAGGAUAAGCGGUAAACUGUAAAUUUAUUUACGAGAAUUUUUCUCCUUCAACA
rnacentral:tRNA from 1 species